rnacentral:piRNA from 1 species
UAGGAUCCUUUCUAAUUGUCUUCAGCUUGGC